AGGGUCUUAGGAUGAACUAGACCAAGGGCCUUCAAAGCCCUAAGCGGGAGUGAGACUCUCCCAGACCCUG
rnacentral:tRNA from 1 species